UUGGUAGAUGAAAUCUCCUCCCGGCCCGCCUAGUUGGGUAAGACGCCUUCACUGCAGUGUAUGUAACUGCAGGGAAAGCCCUCAUUGUCAAAGGGGAUUAUACAGUCGAACCAACAGCAGAUGUCAUUUAUAGUAAAGACAAGGGCUGCCUCCCUUCAAACCUAUGGAAUACUGAAAAAAAUAUGGUAGAGACUAUAUACCAACAAGUGGAG